rnacentral:misc_RNA from 1 species
GAUGAAGAACGUAGCGAAAUGCGAUAAGUAAUGUGAAUUGCAGAAUCCAGUGAAUCAUCGAAUCUUUGAACGCACCUUGCGCCCCUUGGUAUUCCGAGGGGCACACCUGUUGGAGUGUCAUGAAUACCUCAACCCUUAUAUGUUUUAUCACUUAUAAGGUGUUGGUUGUGAGUGUUUCCGGUCGCAAGAUCGGCUCGCUUUAAAAUCAUUAGCUGGAUCCACUUUGACCUGGUUCUACUCGGCGUAAUAAGUUAUUAUCGUUGAGGACACUUUUCUUAGGAAUGGUGGCCACAGUAAAGGUUGCGAACCGCUUCUAAUACGUCUGCUUAGUCUUCGGGCUAUGCAACACUUUUAUCUCUGACCUCCAAUCAGGUGGGACUACCCGCUGAACUUAAGCAUAUCAAUAAGCGGAGGA